rnacentral:rRNA from 1 species
UUUGGAGGUUUCGGCCUCACACAACGCGCUUUGGAUGCGGGCGUAAUGGCUUUAAUCGACCCGUCUUGAAACACGGACCAAGGAGUCUAACAUACAUGCAAGUGUUUGGGUGAAAAACCCAUGCGCGAAAUGAAAGUGAAAGUUAAGAACCCUCAAGGGUGCAUUGACGCCUGGCCCAGAACAAUUUGUGACGGAGCUACGGUAGAGCAUGCAUGUUGGGACCCGAAAGAUGGUGAACUAUGCCUGAAUAGGGUGAAGCCAGAGGAAACUCUGGUGGAAGCUCGCAGCGAUUCUGACGUGCAAAUCGAUCGUCAAAUUUGGGUAUAGGGGCGAAAGACUAAUCGAACCAUCUAGUAGCUGGUUCCCGCCGAAGUUUCCCUCAGGAUAGCAGACGCUCAUUUAUUCAGAUUUAUGUGGUAAAGCGAAUGAUUAGAGGCCUUGGGGUUGAAACAACCUUAACCUAUUCUCAAACUUUAAAUAUGUAAGAUGAGACGGUUUCUUAAAUGAACCGUUUCAUGAUUGAAGAGCGUCUAGUGGGCCAUUUUUGGUAAGCAGAACUGGCGAUGCGGGAUGAACCGAACGUGAGGUUAAGGUGCCGGAAUCUACGCUCAUCAGACACCACAAAAGGUGUUGGUUCAUCUAG